rnacentral:lncRNA from 1 species
CAGGGAACCAUGAAUCCCGCCUGGGAUCCAGGUCUGUGUGCUCCUCCCUGGUCUGCAGGCAAAACCAGCAACCCACCUGCUGCAUCAAGCUGGUCCCAGCCUCUGGCUCCCAUCUCCACCUCACGAGGAAUUCUUGACUAGUAGAAGAGACCGACACAUGGACAACUAGCCACUAGUGCACAUGAUGCUGAGUGCAGUCAUGGAGAGAUGAAGAAACUGCUAGAGGAACAUAGAGGCAGGACCCAAGGAGUCUUCACAGAAGAUGUGACACUUGAUCUGGUUAUCAAAGGAUGAGUAAGAAUUCUCCAAGGAGACAAGAGGCAUGAGAAUCUUCUAGCAGAGAGAACAGCUGCAGCCAAUGCAAAAUCAUAUAAACAAGUAUGAGUGAUUUGGUUUGACAGGAAUGUGGAAUACACAGGGCCUGGUGUGGUAGGUGAUGACCAAGCAUCAUGAACAAACAUUUACUGGGCACUGGGCAUGGGGCAGAAGGACCACUAUGCUCUGUCCCUAGGGACAAAAAAAAGUCCCUAAUCACAGCCCUUCCAGAGGGUAGUCAUGUUGGAAAGAGUACUCAGUGUUUUACUGGAUUCCUAAAAGGAUCAUUGGGUUAUUUUAGCAAAGUUCCCAUUUCCUUCAUGAAGCUAUUCUAAAAUCAGAGAGAUUUUACUAGCAUUUGAGCAAAGAAAGAUCCUGGACUCUCCUUCCCCAACCCUUGAACUGAGGCUGUGCUAGUACUGCACAUGUUUACCCUCAGAUACAUUCUUCACCCUUUCUUUGCUCUAUUCUGUGUUAUGGUGAGGACAGGGGAAACUGGGCCAUGCAAGUUGCAUCUCCCAGAUUUCUGGCUGGAUUCAGCCAGUGGGAGGUACUUUCAGAGGACUAGAGGUGAGGAGGAAUGGAGAAGUCAGGAUAUUUCUCCCUCUCCCUCUUUGUUUCAACUACUGCCUCUUCAGCAGCUGUGACUCCUCCAUGUCCCACUAGACACAUCUACCCUGGUUCAAGUUCACACUGAACACUUCCGCCAUGGUCCCAGUUUCCACCUAAUGACCUCAACCUCUGGGCUCUGGUAACAUCUCACCCUCCCUUUGUCUCCCCAACCUAAGGUGGUAGUGUCUUCCAAGGGUUGCUGAUUUCUGCAUUCCCAUACAGUUUCCUGUUUGGCUUCCCAACUCUUCUAUUACUAGUUUCUUGUAUUAAAUUCUCACUGUUAUAAAUACUUAAAGUGAUCUCUGUCUUCUGAUUUGUACCCUGACUAACAUAGAGACUGCAUUUUAGUGGUCUUUGAGUCUCCCACAGCACCUAAUACAGUGAUUUUAUGUGCUAAUUUGUUAGAUGAAUGGAUGGGCAGAUGGGUGGAUGGAUGGAUGGAUGGAUAAACAGAUGGUUAAUUAAAUAGAUGAGCAGUGGUAUGAUUGGAUGGAUGAGAGUUGAAUGGAUGUUCAUAAUUUAAUGAGGAUGUUUUAAUUUCAUAAGUAUAAAGGAGUAAAUUCUAAAAGAAC